rnacentral:rRNA from 1 species
GGAUGCGAUCAUACCAGCACUAAAGCAUCGGAUCCCAUCAGAACUCCGAAGUUAAGCGUGCUUGGGCGAGAGUAGUACUAGGAUGGGUGACCUCCUGGGAAGUCCCCGUGUUGCAUCCC